CAUGCAGUCGAGCGGUAACAGAAAGAAAGCUUGCUUUCUUUGCUGACGAGCGGCGGACGGGUGAGUAAUGCCUGGGAAUAUGCCUUAGUGUGGGGGAUAACUAUUGGAAACGAUAGCUAAUACCGCAUAACGUCUUCGGACCAAAGAGGGGGACCUUCGGGCCUCUCGCGCUAAGAUUAGCCCAGGUGGGAUUAGCUAGUUGGUGAGGUAAAGGCUCACCAAGGCAACGAUCCCUAGCUGGUCUGAGAGGAUGAUCAGCCACACUGGAACUGAGACACGGUCCAGACUCCUACGGGAGGCAGCAGUGGGGAAUAUUGCACAAUGGGGGAAACCCUGAUGCAGCCAUGCCGCGUGUAUGAAGAAGGCCUUCGGGUUGUAAAGUACUUUCAGUCGUGAGGAAGGCAUUGUAGUUAAUAGCUGCAGUGCUUGACGUUAGCGACAGAAGAAGCACCGGCUAACUCCGUGCCAGCAGCCGCGGUAAUACGGAGGGUGCGAGCGUUAAUCGGAAUUACUGGGCGUAAAGCGCAUGCAGGCGGUCUGUUAAGCAAGAUGUGAAAGCCCGGGGCUCAACCUCGGAACCGCAUUUUGAACUGGCAGACUCAUGCAGUCGCAUGCAGUCGAGAAUUUCA
rnacentral:rRNA from 1 species